GUGUAUAAUCAACAGUAACAUUCCGAAAACAUGGAGAAAAACUAAAACUCUAUCUUACUGUCUCGCUUCAGUCAGAUUUUACGUUACAGAUUAUAUCAGUAACUAGUUUUUUUGCAACCGUGUCGUGCAAACAUCACCCUCAUUAAGCAAUGUUCGUGAACACAAAAAGGGUCCGUGUACUUUCACAAAUGGAGCGAAACAAGGAUGCUUCGUGGAGUUUUAGGACGCGACCCGUUUUAUUAAGAAGUCCCACCGAUCCCCGGUGACGUUAAUUGGAAACGUUUUCAGAAGUUUACUGUGAAAUUUAAGAAAUGUGCAGUAAUGGGUUCAAUCCAAAGCUCCGUCCCCCUGGCAAAGACCGGCAGUGUCAAUACCAGAGUAGCGCUGACCUUGUAUCACAACAGGUUGAAUGUCACUUGUGGUUGAGAAGAUAAUCCAAUAUCCCUCACUGCCCCGUGGGCAUCAGCAAGAUGAGAGGAACUCAAGGCACUGGAGGUGGCAUUGUGCUCCUCAGCCACAACACACCUUCUGUUCUCAAGGACAAACAGAUGGCGUCACGAGGCUGCUUCGUCGAGGCAAUGUAGUUCAAAGGCCAGAAGACUGCUUUGCAUCACAAACCUGUUCCAAAACUGGUUGGAGGUGGCCAAAUCCAGUCAGACACGCGGGAAGGAUGAGUCGAUGGGGCCACGACUGCCACAACCGUCGGCACACAUCACAGUGCACGUCUGGGAUCUGAGCUCCGCAGUCGCCCUCUCGGGCCAGCUUUACCUGCUUCAUUCAAGCCCCCGCUGAGAUUCCAGUUUUGAUAUGUCGACUCCCUGCCGGUCCACGGAAAUGUACCGACCUCCUCCUGUCUUUUGCCGUUUUCCCCAUGACUCAUCUGUGUCCAGGAGAAGUGAGGCCGUUCGGUGGUAAGAGCCUCUUGGGCGUUGCUUGACCUAGGGCCAUGACCUGUACAGCUGGCCGCAGGGCCUGGUGGCAACGGACAUCAGCGUGAGAGUGUGAAAUGAAGCUGUGAUGUGUGUUAAGAGUCCAGUCCAGUCAAGUGUCGAUUGUAUGAGGCAAAGAGGAAAUUAGGUUUAAAGUGCAAAUAAAAUGAGUUGCCCAGCCCCCACCCCCCCAAAGUAGUGGAAGAAUGGAUAAAGAAGGUUGGUGCCAGCUUGGCCCUGGUUCAAGAAGCCCAAUCUUUUAUAGUAGGAAGAUUUAAUUCUUCUAAACGGGUGUGUUGUGCUAGCUGGAUAAAACUAAUUUACUGAACAUCUACCUGAAUAUAGUGCUCUUAAAGAUAUUAAAAGCCCAGCUGUUUCCAAUGCAAUCAAUGCAGUUAUACUGAGAAUCCAUGAGUGGGUCUCGAUUUUAGUUUUUUAAAUGAUUAACUAUUUAGGCUUUCACUACAAAAUGUGGUUCUUGUAAAAAUACUCGCUGGCAUACAACCGUAUGAGAUGUUUCCCCUAAAACAAUUACUAUCUUACUUCCUAGAACAGGGUUUCUGUAAGUCGUUCAUGUGGUAAUCCCACUCAGCGCUUUGGAAGCUUCAAAAUAACAGAAGAUGCUUCUUUCCCCUGACAUUUCUUUUUCCAAACAUUUGGCAUGAAGACAAAAAGUGGCAUCUUACUAAAUUUGAAUCAGCAUAAACAGAAUGUGGCAGUAAGACAUGUUAAGUUAGACUGGCAGGCUCAGCUCCACUGUAACCAUGCUUCUUUCAAACGUAAGGAAUCCAACCUGUUGGUCCACAAAACACUGUUGCUAUGGAACGCCAUUUUGUUUCGAUCUUUGUGCGACCACAAUAUUUGACAUGUCAAAUAAACGUUUAAUUUGAAACUAUAAAUAUAGAAAAUGUAUUGUAGGAUGUUGUGUACCGUUAGGUAUUAUAGAAGAUUCAAAACAAUGUAGCUGUCAAAUGAAAAUAAACUUUUGUAGGCCUGUCUGACCGGAAUUCAGAGAGGUCCUGAGUACCAUAGUAUGUUAGUAAAUAUGGCUCUGUAUGUUCCUAUGCCAGUCGCUG